rnacentral:rRNA from 1 species
AACGAACGCUGGCGGCAUGCCUAACACAUGCAAGUCGAACGAAGCCUUCGGGCUUAGUGGGCGCACGGGUGCGUAACGCGUGGGAACCUACCAUCAGGUUCGGAAUAACAGUUAGAAAUGACUGCUAAUACCGGAUAAUGUCUUCGGACCAAAGAUUUAUCGCCUUUUGAUGGGCCCGCGUAAGAUUAGGUAGUUGGUGGGGUAAAGGCCUACCAAGCCGACGAUCUUUAGCUGGUCUGAGAGGAUGAUCAGCCACACUGGGACUGAGACACGGCCCAGACUCCUACGGGAGGCAGCAGUGGGGAAUAUUGGACAAUGGCGAAAGCCUGAUCCAGCAAUGCCGCGUGAGUGAUGAAGGCCUUAGGGUUGUAAAGCUCUUUUACUGGGGAUGAUAAUGACAGUACCCAGAGAAGUAAGCUCCGGCUAACUCCGUG